rnacentral:rRNA from 1 species
CCUACGGGGGGCAGCAGUGGGGGAUAUUGCACAAUGGGGGAAACCCUGAUGCAGCGACGCCGCGGGUGGGAAGACGGUCUUCUGGAUUGUAAACCACUGUCCCCAGGGACGAAAAUGACGGUACCUGGGGAGGAAGCUCCGGCUAACUACGUGCCAGCAGCCGCGGUAAUACGUAGGGAGCAAGCGUUGUCCGGAAUUACUGGGUGUACAGGGAGCGUAGGCGGGGAUGCAAGUUGGGUGUCAAAACUACCGGAUCAACCGAUAGUCGCACUCAAAACUGCAGCUCUUGAGUGAAGUAGAGGCAGGCGGAAUUCCUGGUGUAGCGGUGAAAUGCGGAGAUAUUAGGAGGAACACCAGUGGCGAAGGCGGCCUGCUGGGCUUUUACUGACGCUGAGGCUCGAAUGUGUGGGGAGCAAACAGGAUUAGAUACCCCAGUAGUC